UACAGAGGGUGCAAGCGUUGUUCGGAAUUACUGGGCGUAAAGGGCGCGUAGGCGGCCAUCUAAGUCGGACGUGAAAUCCCCAGGCUUAACUUGGGAACUGCGUCCGAUACUGGAUGGCUUGAAUCCGGGAGAGGGAUGCGGAAUUCCAGGUGUAGCGGUGAAAUGCGUAGAUAUCUGGAGGAACACCGGUGGCGAAGGCGGCAUCCUGGACCGACACUGACGCUGAGGAGCGAAAGCCAGGGGAGCAAACGGG
rnacentral:rRNA from 1 species